rnacentral:tRNA from 1 species
GGCAGGGUAGUCCGCCGCGGCGGACACAGGACUCAUAAGCCUGGGGUCGACGGUUCAAAUCCGUCCCCUGCUA